GACGAACGCUGGCGGCGUGCUUAACACAUGCAAGUCGAACGGAAAGGCCCUGCUUUUGUGGGGUGCUCGAGUGGCGAACGGGUGAGUAACACGUGAGUAACCUGCCCUUGACUUUGGGAUAACUUCAGGAAACUGGGGCUAAUCCCGGAUAGGAGCUCCUGCUGAAUGGUGGGGGUUGGAAAGUUUCGGCGGUUGGGGAUGGACUCGCGGCUUAUCAGCUUGUUGGUGGGGUAGUGGCUUACCAAGGCUUUGACGGGUAGCCGGCCUGAGAGGGUGACCGGCCACAUUGGGACUGAGAUACGGCCCAGACUCCUACGGGAGGCAGCAGUGGGGAAUAUUGCACAAUGGGCGGAAGCCUGAUGCAGCAACGCCGCGUGCGGGAUGACGGCCUUCGGGUUGUAAACCGCUUUCGCCUGUGACGAAGCGUGAGUGACGGUAAUGGGUAAAGAAGCACCGGCUAACUACGUG
rnacentral:rRNA from 1 species